rnacentral:rRNA from 1 species
CAGUAGCCACGGUAAUACGAAGGGGGCUAGCGUUGCUCGGAAUCACUGGGCGUAAAGGGUGCGUAGGCGGGUCUUUAAGUCAGGGGUGAAAUCCUGGAGCUCAACUCCAGAACUGCCUUUGAUACUGAAGAUCUUGAGUUCGGGAGAGGUGAGUGGAACUGCGAGUGCAGAGGUGAAAUUCGUAGAUAUUCGCAAGAACACCAGUGGCGAAGGCGGCUCACUGGCCCGAUACUGACGCUGAGGCACGAAAGCGUGGGGAGCAAACAGGAUUAGAUACCCGAGUAGUCCCUGUCUCUUAUAC